GUAUAAAGGGGUGUUGUAGACGACGACGUUGAUAGGCGGCAGGUGGAGGUGGUGAGAGCCAUAAAGCCGAGCCGUACUAAUGGCCCCGGAAGCGUGUU
rnacentral:rRNA from 1 species